CUCUUCUUCCUGACAUUCAUUGCAUAAACCUGUAGGAUGUUUUCCUAUGAAAUGUGUGGAGUUUGCAUGUUCUCCCCGUGCUGCGGGGGUUUCCUCCGUGUACUCUGGUUUCCUCCCCCAGUCCAAAGACAUGCAUGGUAGGCUGACUGGCAUGUCCAAAGUGUCCGUAGUGUAUGAAUGGGUGUGUGAUUGUGUAUGUGAUUGUGCCCUGCGAUAGACUGGCACCCCGUCCAGGGUGUACCCCGCCUUGUACCCGAUGUCCCCUGUGAUAGGCUCCAGGUUCCCCGCGACCCUGAAGGAUAAGUGCCUUGAGGCAGUGAAUUCACCCAAAGAGCAGAAGGGCAUGCAGUGCUCCCGUUCUGCUUCACAAAAUCCACAGACUGUAUCUGAGAGACUGUAAGGCAUCUAUGACCCUCAUAUCGACACAGAAAACAAGGAGAAACAAGACUGAGCCUAAACCAUGCCAGGCAUGCUGAAAAGCCAACUUGGAUUUAUU